rnacentral:rRNA from 1 species
UACGGGGGGAGCAAGCGUUGUUCGGAUUUACUGGGCGUAAAGGGCGCGUAGGCGGUCGUGACAAGUCACUUGUGAAAUCUCCGGGCUUAACUCGGAACGGUCAAGUGAUACUGUCGGACUAGAGUACAGAAGGGGCAACUGGAAUUCUCGGUGUAGCGGUGAAAUGCGUAGAUAUCGAGAGGAACACCUGCGGCGAAGGCGGGUUGCUGGGCUGAUACUGACGCUGAGGCGCGAAAGCCGGGGGAGCGAACGGG